rnacentral:rRNA from 1 species
GAUCAUGGCUCAGGAUGAACGCUAGCUACAGGCUUAACACAUGCAAGUCAGGGGAAACGACGUCGAAAGCUUGCUUUUGAUGGGCGUCGACCGGCGCACGGGUGAGUAACGCGUAUCCAACCUGCCCAUCACUUGGGAAUAACCUUGCGAAAGUAAGACUAAUGCCCAAUGACAUCCCACGAAGGCAUCCGAAUGGGAUUAAAGAUUUAUCGGUGAUGGAUGGGGAUGCGUCUGAUUAG